UACGGAGGGGACUAGCGUUGUUCGGAAUUACUGGGCGUAAAGCGCACGUAGGCGGAUUUGUAAGUCAGGGGUGAAAUCCCGGGGCUCAACCUCGGAACUGCCUUUGAUACUGCAAAUCUCGAGUCCGGAAGAGGUGAGUGGAAUUCCUAGUGUAGAGGUGAAAAUUCGUAGAUAUUAGGAAGAACACCAGUGGCGAAGGCGGCUCACUGGUCCGGUACUGACGCUGAGGUGCGAAAAGCGUGGGGAGCAAACAGGG
rnacentral:rRNA from 1 species